UACGAAGGGGGCUAGCGUUGCUCGGAAUCACUGGGCGUAAAGCGCGCGCAGGCGGUCUUUCAAGUCAGUGGUGAAAGCCCGGAGCUCAACUUCGGAACUGCCCUUGAUACAGCACGUCUUGAGUCCGGAAGAGGUGGGUGGAAUUCCUAGUGUAGAGGUGAAAUUCGUAGAUAUCGGGAGGAACACCGGUGGCGAAGGCGGCGACCUGGGUCGAUACUGACGCUGAUGCGCGAAAGCGUGGGGAGCAAACAGG
rnacentral:rRNA from 1 species